CAUGUAGGCGGUUUUUUAAGUCUGGAGUGAAAAUGCGGGGCUCAACCCCGUAUGGCUCUGGAUACUGGAAGACUUGAGUGCAGGAGAGGAAAGGGGAAUUCCCAGUGUAGCGGUGAAAUGCGUAGAUAUUAGGAGGAACACCAGUUGCGAAGGCGGCUCUCUGGACUGUAACUGACACUGAGGCACGAAAGCGUGGGGAGCAAACA
rnacentral:rRNA from 1 species